UUUGGUGGCGAUAGCGAAGAGGUCACACCCGUUCCCAUUCCGAACACGGCAGUUAAGCUCUUCAGCGCCGAUGGUAGUUGGGGGUUUCCCCCUGUGAGAGUAGGACGCCGCCAAGC
rfam:Bacillus sp. FJAT-22058 super1, whole genome shotgun sequence.